rnacentral:lncRNA from 1 species
GAGCAAGUCCAAGAGUGCCUCAAAUUGUUGUCCUAAGUUAAAAUUUAGGGCAUUUGAUAAAAAAGACUGCUCCAACAAUGUCCUAGUGAUGCCUUAUAUCACUAGGACAACUCUUUCAAGCCCCAUAUUUGAGGCACUCUCUCUCCUUGCCCUAUCCCAUAUUUUAUAAUAAAUUUCUAUCUACACUUUCUUUCUCUCUCUACUUUAUAUUAUGUUUUAAUGAUGAAAGUGAACUUUUAAUAAUAAAAUAUUAAACAAAUAGAGAAAAUAAGGCACAUUGUUGGAGUUGAAAUUGGUUGAAUAUGUCCUAAACUACUAGGACAUAAUUUUUUAUAUUAUAUUUAGGGCUCCAAC